rnacentral:rRNA from 1 species
CCCCUAGAUGUUCUGGGCCGCACGCGCGCUACACUGAACAGUUCAACAAGUCUUAACCUUGGCCGAUAGGUCUGGGUAAUCUUUGAACGCUGUUCGUGAUUGGGAUAGACCUUUGCAAUUAUGGGUCUUCAGCGAGGAAUUCCUAGUAAACGCAAGUCAUCAGCUUGCAUUGAUUACGUCCCUGCCCUUUGUACACACCGCCCGUCGCACCUACCGAUUGAAUGGUCCGGUGAAAUCUCGGGACGGCGGCUUGGUCGCUUGCGUCCGACUGCUGAAACUUGAUUAAACCAUNUNAUUUAANGGAAGGUGAANUCGUANCA